rnacentral:rRNA from 1 species
CCAGACUCCUACGGGAGGCAGCAGUGGGGAAUCUUCCGCAAUGGGCGCAAGCCUGACGGAGCAACGCCGCGUGAGUGAAGAAGGUCUUCGGAUCGUAAAGCUCUGUUGAAGGGGACGAACGUAUAUAGUGCGAAUAGUGCUGUGUAAUGACGGUACCUUUUGAGGAAGCCACGGCUAACUACGUGCCAGCAGCCGCGGUAAUACGUAGGUGGCGAGCGUUGUCCGGAAUCAUUGGGCGUAAAGGGAGCGCAGGCGGCCAUGUAAGUCUUGCUUAAAAGUUCGGGGCUCAACCCCGUGAUGGGCAAGAAACUAUAUGGCUUGAGUGCAGGAGAGGAAAGCGGAAUUCCCAGUGUAGCGGUGAAAUGCGUAGAUAUUGGGAGGAACACCAGUGGCGAAGGCGGCUUUCUGGACUGCAACUGACGCUGAGGCUCGAAAGCCAGGGGAGCGAACGGGAUUAGAUACCCCGGUAGUCCUGGCCGUAAACGAUGGAUACUAGGUGUGGGAGGUAUCGACCCCUACCGUGCCGGAGUUAACGCAAUAAGUAUCCCGCCUGGGGAGUACGGUCGCAAGACUGAAACUCAAAGGAAUUGACGGGGGCCCGCACAAGAAGGGCGAA